ACUUUACCAUGUAAUUAUCAGGAUAUAGAUAGUCAAGUCAAUUCAAUCAUUAUCUAUCAAUAUUCAGUAAUUGGGUCAAUAUUCGGACGAUUAACCACCGUUCCGAUCCCAGAUCGAAUCUCGUCAUUGACCUUAAGUACGACAAUAUCUAAAUCUUAUCCAUUCAUUCCUUAUAAAUAUUACUAUCAUUCAAUGUGUCGGAGAUAAUAUCUCAUAAUAUCUCAUAUAUCAGAGAUCUUAUAUCGCAUCUUCGCUUUUUGAAACCUGAGCACACCACCGCUGAAUCUUAGCACUGCCUCGUAUAAUCGAGCAUUCUCCUCCUUAUAAAUACUGCCUGUUUAUCAUGUAAUUAUCAGCGUCAUCAUAGCCAAUUCAAUAUUCUAUCGAUAUUCAGUAUUUGAGCC
rnacentral:sRNA from 2 species